rfam:Photobacterium gaetbulicola Gung47 chromosome 2, complete sequence.
CCAACUUUGUAGCAAGUUGUAGCCUAGGGAUAGUGCGAGUCUGGUAACGGACUGGUGUGAAGCAUCCUGACAAUGUACCCCCUGCAAAGGUGCUAUUCCUGCGUGAGCAGAAUAGUAGAUAUCGAUAAUGACAAUCGAUUGAGGGG